rnacentral:rRNA from 1 species
AUUGAACGCUGGCGGCAGGCCUAACACAUGCCAGUCGAGCGGAUGAAGGGAGCUUGCUCCUGGAUUCAGCGGCGGACGGGUGAGUAAUGCCUAGGAAUCUGCCUGGUAGUGGGGGAUAACGUCCGGAAACGGGCGCUAAUACCGCAUACGACCUGAGGGAGAAAGUGGGGGAUCUUCGGACCUCACGCUAUCAGAUGAGCCUAGGUCGGAUUAGCUAGUUGGUGGGGUAAAGGCCUACCAAGGCGACGAUCCGUAACUGGUCUGAGAGGAUGAUCAGUCACACUGGAACUGAGACACGGUCCAGACUCCUACGGGAGGCAGCAGUGGGGAAUAUUGGACAAUGGGCGAAAGCCUGAUCCAGCCAUGCCGCGUGUGUGAAGAAGGUCUUCGGAUUGUAAAGCACUUUAAGUUGGGAGGAAGGGCAGUAAGUUAAUACCUUGCUGUUUUGACGUUACCAACAGAAUAAGCACCGGCUAACUUCGUG